rnacentral:piRNA from 1 species
UAGAAGGGCAAGUCACCCAGGGCAAAGC